rnacentral:rRNA from 1 species
AGAGUUUGAUCCUGGCUCAGGAUGAACGCUAGCGACAGGCCUAACACAUGCAAGUCGAGGGGCAGCGAAGAGGUAGCAAUACCUUUGUCGGCGACCGGCGCACGGGUGAGUAACACGUAUGCAAUCCACCUGUAACAGGGGGAUAACCCGGAGAAAUCCGGACUAAUACCCCAUAAUAUGGGCGCUCCGCAUGGAGAGCCCAUUAAAGAGAGCAAUUUUGGUUACAGACGAGCAUGCGCUCCAUUAGCCAGUUGGCGGGGUAACGGCCCACCAAAGCGACGAUGGAUAGGGGUUCUGAGAGGAAGGUCCCCCACAUUGGAACUGAGACACGGUCCAAACUCCUACGGGAGGCAGCAGUGAGGAAUAUUGGUCAAUGGUCGGCAGACUGAACCAGCCAAGUCGCGUGAGGGAAGACGGCCCUACCGGUUGUAAACCUCUUUUUGUCCGAGAAUAAAGUACAGCCACCGUGUAGUGUAUUGCAAGUAUCCGAAGAAAAAAAGCAUCGGCUAACUCCGUGCCAGCAGCCGCGGUAAUACGGAGGAUGCAAGCGUUAUCCGGAUUUAUUGGGUUUAAAGGGUGCGUAGGCGGCACGCCAAGUCAGCGGUGAAAUUUCCGGGCUCAACCCGGAGUGUGCCGUUGAAACUGGCGAGCUAGAGUACACAAGAGGCAGGCGGAAUGCGUGGUGUAGCGGUGAAAUGCAUAGAUAUCACGCAGAACCCCGAUUGCGAAGGCAGCCUGCUAGGGUGAAACAGACGCUGAGGCACGAAAGCGUGGGUAUCGAACAGGAUUAGAUACCCUGGUAGUCCACGCAGUAAACGAUGAAUACUAACUGUUUGCGAUACAAUGUAAGCGGUACAGCGAAAGCGUUAAGUAUUCCACCUGGGGAGUACGCCGGCAACGGUGAAACUCAAAGGACAUUGACGGAAGGGCGAA